rnacentral:rRNA from 1 species
AUUGAACGCUGGUGGCAGGCCUAACACAUGCAAGUCGAACGAGUGGCGGACGGGUGAGUAAUGUCUGGGAAACUGCCUGAUGGAGGGGGAUCACUACUGGAAACGGUAGCUAAUACCGCAUACCAUCAGAUGUGCCCAGAUGGGAUUAGCUUGGUGGUGGGGUAACGGCUCACCAAGGCGACGAUCCCUAGCUGGUCCGAGAGGAUGACCGGCAACACUGGAACUGUGACACGGUCCAGACUCCUACGGGAGGCAGCAGUGGGGAAUAUGGCACAAUGGGCGCAAGCCGGAUGCAGCAAUGCCGGGUGGAGGAAGAAGGCCUUCGGGUUGUAAAGUACUUUCAGCGGGGAGGCGUUACCCGCAGAAGAAGCACCGGCUAACUCCGUGCCAGCCGCCGCGGUAAUAC